GUCAUUUCUUGGCCUUUUGGCUAAGAUCAAGUAUAGUAUCUUUUCUGACUAAUUUAAUAUCUGAUAUAUGUUCUCUUUCCGAGGACAAUAAGUUAAAUGGUUUUUUUUUUUGAGCAGGAAAAUGGAAUAGGCGCUUGCUCCGUUCACUCUGUCCAUCAACGUGGUAUUGGCAGUACCUCCAAGAGUGGUGCACCCCCU
ensembl:snRNA U2 U2 spliceosomal RNA